rnacentral:rRNA from 1 species
GAUGAACGCUGGCGGCGUGCCUAAUACAUGCAAGUCGAGCGAACAGACGAGGAGCUUGCUCCUCUGACGUUAGCGGCGGACGGGUGAGUAACACGUGGAUAACCUACCUAUAAGACUGGGAUAACUUCGGGAAACCGGAGCUAAUACCGGAUAAUAUAUUGAACCGCAUGGUUCAAUAGUGAAAGACGGUUUUGCUGUCACUUAUAGAUGGAUCCGCGCCGCAUUAGAUAGUUGGUAAGGUAACGGCUUACCAAGGCGACGAUGCGUAGCCGACCUGAGAGAGUGGUCGGCCACACUGGAACUGAGACACGGUCCAGACUCCUACGGGAGGCAGCAGUAGGGAAUCUUCCGCAAUGGGCGAAAGCCUGACGCAGCAACGCCGCGUGAGUGAUGAAGGUCUUCGGAUCGUAAAACUCUGUUAUUAGGGAAGAACAAAUGUGUAAGUAACUAUGCACGUCUUGACGGUACCUAAUCAGAAAGCAACGGCUAACUACGUG